GACGAACGCUGGCGGCGUGCCUAAUACAUGCAAGUAGAACGCUGAAGAGAGGAGCUUGCUCUUCUUGGAUGAGUUGCGAACGGGUGAGUAACGCGUAGGUAACCUGCCUUGUAGCGGGGGAUAACUAUUGGAAACGAUAGCUAAUACCGCAUAACAAUGGAUGACACAUGUCAUUUAUUUGAAAGGGGCAAUUGCUCCACUACAAGAUGGACCUGCGUUGUAUUAGCUAGUAGGUGAGGUAAUGGCUCACCUAGGCGACGAUACAUAGCCGACCUGAGAGGGUGAUCGGCCACACUGGGACUGAGACACGGCCCAGACUCCUACGGGAGGCAGCAGUAGGGAAUCUUCGGCAAGGGGGGCAACCCUGGCCGAGCAACGCCGCGUGAGUGAAGAAGGUUGUCGGAUCGUAAAGCUCUGUUGUAAGCCAAGAACGGGUGUGAGAGUGGAAAGUUCACACUGUGACGGUAGCUUAACAGAAAGGGACGGCUAACUACGUG
rnacentral:rRNA from 1 species